rnacentral:rRNA from 1 species
AGUGAACGCUGGCGGUAGGCCUAACACAUGCAAGUCGAACGGCAGCACAGUAUGGGCUGGCUCUUAGUGGUGGAGAGGGGCGGAAGGGUGAGGAAUGCGUCGGAAUCUACGUUUUAGUGGGGGGUAACGUAGGGUAACAUACGCUAAUACCGCCUACGAACUACGGGGGAAAGCAGGGGAUCUUCGGACCUUGCCCGACGGAAUGAGCCGAGGUCGGAUUAGCUAGUUAGCGGGGUAAAGGCCCACCAAUGCAACGAUGCGUAGAUGGUCUGAGAGGACGAACAGCCACACUGGGACUGAGACACGGCCCAGACUCCUACGGGAGGCAGCAGUGGGGAAUUUUGGACAAUGGGCGAAAGCCUGAUCCAGCCAUGCCGCGUGCGUGAUGAAGGCCUUCGGGUUGUAAACUGCUUUUGUACGGAACGAAAAGACGCUGGUUAAUACCUGGGGGCAAUGACGGUACCUGAAGAAUAAGCACCGGCUAACUACGUG